UUUAAAAAUUGUUCAAGCUCUGUCAUUGUGUUGGGGAUAAUGGGCUAGACAGUAAUUUUCAAGUCUUGCCAUAGAUCUUCAAGGAGAUUUAAGUCAAAAUUCUAACUAGGCCACUCGGGAACAUUCAAUAUCUUCUUGGUAAGCAACUCCAGUGUAUAUUUGGCCUUGUGUUUUAGGUUAUUGUCCUGCUGAAAGGUGAAUUCAUCUCCCAGUGUCAGCUGGAAUGCAGAGGGAAGCAUGUUUUCCUCUAGGAUUUUGCCUUCUGUUUUAUCCUGAAAAACUCCCCAGGAUUUGCCGAUGUCAAGCAUACCCAUAACAUGAUGCAGCCACCACCAUGCUGGAAAAUAAGGAGGCAGUUACUCAAGUGAUGUGUUGUGUUGAAUUUGCACCAAACAUAAGGCUUUGUAUUUAGGCCAAAAAAGGUCCAUUGAAUCCCACUUUGUGACACAAAACAAAAUGUUCAAAUCCAUGGCUGGGUGAAUACUUCUGAUACCCACUGUAUGAGGGGUAACUUUUACUUUUGUGUUUUUAUAUAAGAUGAUUUAAUACCUGAAAUAUAUUAUUAUUUUAAAAGUUAUGUUUUUAAAGCGUAGUGAGUGACUAUGAACCGUGAGUAGUAGUAGUAGAAGAGACCAGAGCUAGUGUGGAGGCAGAUGUGUGUGUGUGUUUAUAGGAGCAGUAUAGGGAGGAUCCCUGGUGUAGUUGGAUAUGGGACAGACAGACAGACAGACAGACAGACAGACAGACAGACAGACAGACAGACAGACGUAGUUGGAUAUGGGACAGACAGACAGA